AUUGAACGCUGGCGGCAGGCCUAACACAUGCAAGUCGAACGAGUGGCGGACGUGUGAGUAAUGUCUGGGAAACUGCCUGAUGGAGGGGGAUAACUACUGGAAACGGUAGCUAAUCCCGCAUACCAUCGGAUGUUCACAGAGGGGAUUAGCUAGUAGGUGGGGUAAAGGCUCACCUAGGCGACGAUCCCUAGCUGGUAUGAGAGGAUGACGAGCGACACUGGAACUGAGACACGGACCGUACUCCUACGAGAGGCAGCAGUGGGGAAUAUUGCGCAAUGGGCGCAAGCCUGAUACAGUCACGCCGCGUGUAUGAAGAAGGCCUUCGGGUUGUAAAGUACUUUCAGCUGGGAGGCGUUACCCGCAGAAGAAGCACCGGCUAACUCCGUGCCAGCAGCCGCGGUAAUUC
rnacentral:rRNA from 1 species